rnacentral:tRNA from 1 species
GCCGAUUAAGUCCAAUGGUAGGACGCCAGACUUGUAAUCUGGAGAUAGGUGGUUCGAUUCCAUCGGUCGGCU